GAAGACGUGUCGCUUGCCUUCAGCUUGUCCCUCAGGCUUCCCAGGGGCUUUCUGAAGAGACUAGGUUUUCAGUCAAGAGCUGAAUUCUAUGAAAACUUUCCCGGUGGGGACUCUUCAUUCUACACUGACUGGGUGACUCUAGGCAGUGUCCUCCUUUCUGUGUGAGAACAAAUGCCCUGAAUUUCAUCUUUUGUAUGACACGAAGCCUCCUGGAAAAACCCCAGAGCGUCUAAGAAUUAAUCAAGCCUGAGAAGUAAGCCUGCAGUCGCUCUGUGGCUUAGGUCAACAAGUGCCUGCCGGGCCAGGAAAUGCCAAUGGUACACAGGGCCUUUGAGUCCCGGGAAAGAGACAGUGGCCUGCACCUGAAGCUGCAUGUUUGUCUGGUUCCUGCAUCCUGAUGCAGCAACCACUGAGCCCAACUGCCUCCUCCUUAACGAGCAACAUCUACGAUACAACAUCUACUACACGGGAGCUACUGAACUGCAUCAGUAUCCUGAAGAAGUUAAGUUUCCUG